rnacentral:rRNA from 1 species
ACCCUACGGGAGGCAGCAGUGGGGAAUAUUGCACAAUGGGCGCAAGCCUGAUGCAGCCAUGCCGCGUGUGUGAAGAAGGCCUUCGGGUUGUAAAGCACUUUCAGUCGUGAGGAAGGUAGUGUAGUUAAUAGCUGCAUUAUUUGUACGUUAGCGACAGAAGAAGCACCGGCUAACUCCGUGCCAGCAGCCGCGGUAAUACGGAGGGUGCGAGCGUUAAUCGGAAUUACUGGGCGUAAAGCGCAUGCAGGUGGUUUGUUAAGUCAGAUGUGAAAGCCCGGGGCUCAACCUCGGAAUAGCAUUUGAAACUGGCAGACUAGAGUACUGUAGAGGGGGUUAGGAAUUUCAGGUGUAGCGGUGAAAUGCGUAGAGAUCUG